GCUGGAUCCGCCCCUGGAAAUAAGAAUACUGAAUAGGAUAAAUAUCUCGAUUUUUUUUUUGCUUCAAUUUUUUUAUCGGCCCAUAACGUCAUAAUCCCUUUGCAAUUUGUUUCAUCUAUUUGCGACCCUUAUCUCGCUGCGCAACUGUAGCAGAGUAACUAAAAGUUGCAAACGGACAGAACAAAAUGGCAGCGCGCACGCAACUACUGAUCAGAAAGUCAAGACAACACUAACAGUAACAGGCUGAUAAAUUCAGUCAAGAAUAUUGAGAUAUCCUGCUGUAUAAUCUGUUCCCAUUGUCCUACUUCGUGAAUAAAACAUUUUUGAGGAAAUUUAGUUCUUAAAUAUGAUUGAUGGUCAGUCUUUGUAUCUGCGAAUUUCUAAUGUAUUUCUUAAUUUUGGUGGUCCACCGGUCUGGGAGAGUACCGCCUACCGGUACCCAGGGAGCGCUCCCUGGGUAGGAGAAAUCGAGCCGAUGCUGACCAGCAGCAUCAGUCACUGUGACAGUGUGAGUGUGGACCGGUCAUCACGACUCUGCCCUACACUCAGCGUUCAACAGUCAUUGGAUUUCAUGUUGGGAGAAGCCCAGGCUGUUACAGAAUACAGGGAUCAGCAUGAGCUGUAGCUGUUAUAGCUAGGGAGAGAAUGCUAGUAGAAGAGGGACAAACCAAGACGAACCGAUUCUGACCUCUCAGUCAUGUUUUCAAGCAUAAAAGACCUAUCGACCUUGCAAAUCAGAGGCUACGGAGAUGGACUAUAAAAGUACUUGUUGACUUAAGUUAAGAAUGUGUCUCUGACAGGUGAUCAUCAAUGCCCCCUUACCCGCAGGUGUGGCCCCUCCCCUGUCUUCCCUCGGUAGACAGCCAUAGCAACUAUACCAGCCAACCAAUCAGCUUCUCUGCAUUCUCAUUACCCACCCAUAGUCCAGUGCCCCGCCCACCCAGCCAGCAGACGGCUGUCUAUGUCUAUUGAUCCCCAGGUCUGGCUAAAGAUCUAUAAUUUCAGGUGGUGUCUCUGAUGGGAGAUCAUCGAUGCCUUCACACCCAGGGGGUAAUGCCUCUCCUGUGCUGCCUCUGUGUAAACUUAGCCACUAUAUCAACCAAUCAGCUUUUCUGCAUCCUCAUCGCCUGCCAAUAGUCCAGUGUCCCGCCCACCCAGCAGACGGCUGUCUAUCGUUCCGUAGGUCAGGCUGAAGACUAAUAAACCUCAAAUGCUUUAGCAGUUAUAACAAGGAAGAGCAUGCUAGAAGAGGGACAAAGGGAUUUUGACCUACUGGUUAUAUUGCCAAACGCAAAGGACCUAUCGACCUUGCAAAACAGAGGCUACAGAGAUAGUGAAGUCUAUGGAAGACUGUAUUUGAAUUAAGAAUGUGUCUCUGACAGGUGAUCAUCAAUGCCCCCUUACACGCAAGUGUGGCCAUAUCCUGUUGUCCCUCGGUAGACAGCCAUAGCAACUAUACCAGCCAACCAAUCAGCUUCUCUGCAUUCUCAUCACCCGCCCAUAGUCCAGUGCCCCGCCCACCCAGCAGACAGCUGUCUGUUGAUCCCCAGGUCUGGCUAAAGAUCUAUAACUUCAGGUGGUGUCUCUGAUGGGAGAUCAUCGAUGCCUUCACACCCAGGGGGUAAUGCCUCUCCUGUGCUGCCUCUGUGUAAACUUAGCCACUAUAUCAACCAAUCAGCUUUUCUGCAUCCUCAUCGCCUGCCAAUAGUCCAGUGUCCCGCCCACCCAGCAGACGGCUAUCUAUCGUUCCGUAGGUCAGGCUGAAGACUAAUAAACCUCAAAUGCUUUAGCAGUUAUAACAAGGGAGAGCAUGUACAAGAGGGACAAAGGGAUUUUGACCUACUGGUUAUAUUGCCAAACGCAAAGGACCUAUCGACCUUGCAAAACAGAGGCUACAGAGAUAGUGAAGUCUAUGGAAGACUGUAUUUGAAUUAAGAAUGUGUCUCUGACAGGUGAUCAUCAAUGCCCCCUUACCCGCAGGUGUGGCCCCUCCCCUGUUGUCCCUCGGUAGACAGCCAUAGCAACUAUACCAGCCAACCAAUCAGCUUCUCUGCAUUCUCAUCACCCGCCCAUAGUCCAGUGCCCCGCCCACCCAGCAGACAGCUGUCUGUUGAUCCCCAGGUCUGGCUAAAGAUCUAUAACUUCAGGUGGUGUCUCUGAUGGGAGAUCAUCGAUGCCUUCACACCCAGGGGGUAAUGCCUCUCCUGUGCUGCCUCUGUGUAAACUUAGCCACUAUAUCAACCAAUCAGCUUUUCUGCAUCCUCAUCGCCUGCCAAUAGUCCAGUGUCCCGCCCACCCAGCAGACGGCUGUCUAUCGUUCCGUAGGUCAGGCUGCAGACUAAUAAACCUCAAAUGCUUUAGCAGUUAUAACAAGGGAGAGCAUGUACAAGAGGGACAAAGGGAUUUUGACCUACUGGUUAUAUUGCCAAACGCAAAGGACCUAUCGACCUUGCAAAACAGAGGCUACAGAGAUAGUGAAGUCUAUGGAAGACUGUAUUUGAAUUAAGAAUGUGUCUCUGACAGGUGAUCAUCAAUGCCCCCUUACCCGCAGGUGUGGCCCCUCCCCUGUUGUCCCUCGGUAGACAGCCAUAGCAACUAUACCAGCCAACCAAUCAGCUUCUCUGCAUUCUCAUCACCCGCCCAUAGUCCAGUGCCCCGCCCACCCAGCAGACAGCUGUCUGUUGAUCCCCAGGUCUGGCUAAAGAUCUAUAACUUCAGGUGGUGUCUCUGAUGGGAGAUCAUCGAUGCCUUCACACCCAGGGGGUAAUGCCUCUCCUGUGCUGCCUCUGUGUAAACUUAGCCACUAUAUCAACCAAUCAGCUUUUCUGCAUCCUCAUCGCCUGCCAAUAGUCCAGUGUCCCGCCCACCCAGCAGACGGCUGUCUAUCGUUCCGUAGGUCAGGCUGCAGACUAAUAAACCUCAAAUGCUUUAGCAGUUAUAACAAGGGAGAGCAUGUACAAGAGGGACAAAGGGAUUUUGACCUACUGGUUAUAUUGCCAAACGCAAAGGACCUAUCGACCUUGCAAAACAGAGGCUACAGAGAUAGUGAAGUCUAUGGAAGACUGUAUUUGAAUUAAGAAUGUGUCUCUGACAGGUGAUCAUCAAUGCCCCCUUACCCGCAGGUGUGGCCCCUCCCCUGUUGUCCCUCGGUAGACAGCCAUAGCAACUAUACCAGCCAACCAAUCAGCUUCUCUGCAUUCUCAUCACCCGCCCAUAGUCCAGUGCCCCGCCCACCCAGCAGACAGCUGUCUGUUGAUCCCCAGGUCUGGCUAAAGAUCUAUAACUUCAGGUGGUGUCUCUGAUGGGAGAUCAUCGAUGCCUUCACACCCAGGGGGUAAUGCCUCUCCUGUGCUGCCUCUGUGUAAACUUAGCCACUAUAUCAACCAAUCAGCUUUUCUGCAUCCUCAUCGCCUGCCAAUAGUCCAGUGUCCCGCCCACCCAGCAGACGGCUGUCUAUCGUUCCGUAGGUCAGGCUGCAGACUAAUAAACCUCAAAUGCUUUAGCAGUUAUAACAAGGGAGAGCAUGUACAAGAGGGACAAAGGGAUUUUGACCUACUGGUUAUAUUGCCAAACGCAAAGGACCUAUCGACCUUGCAAAACAGAGGCUACAGAGAUAGUGAAGUCUAUGGAAGACUGUAUUUGAAUUAAGAAUGUGUCUCUGACAGGUGAUCAUCAAUGCCCCCUUACCCGCAGGUGUGGCCCCUCCCCUGUUGUCCCUCGGUAGACAGCCAUAGCAACUAUACCAGCCAACCAAUCAGCUUCUCUGCAUUCUCAUCACCCGCCCAUAGUCCAGUGCCCCGCCCACCCAGCAGACAGCUGUCUGUUGAUCCCCAGGUCUGGCUAAAGAUCUAUAACUUCAGGUGGUGUCUCUGAUGGGAGAUCAUCGAUGCCUUCACACCCAGGGGGUAAUGCCUCUCCUGUGCUGCCUCUGUGUAAACUUAGCCACUAUAUCAACCAAUCAGCUUUUCUGCAUCCUCAUCGCCUGCCAAUAGUCCAGUGUCCCGCCCACCCAGCAGACGGCUGUCUAUCGUUCCGUAGGUCAGGCUGCAGACUAAUAAACCUCAAAUGCUUUAGCAGUUAUAACAAGGGAGAGCAUGUACAAGAGGGACAAAGGGAUUUUGACCUACUGGUUAUAUUGCCAAACGCAAAGGACCUAUCGACCUUGCAAAACAGAGGCUACAGAGAUAGUGAAGUCUAUGGAAGACUGUAUUUGAAUUAAGAAUGUGUCGCUGACAGGUGAUCAUCAAUGCCCCCUUACCUGCAGGUGUGGCCCCUCCCCUGUUGUCCCUCGGUAGACAGCCAUAGCAACUAUACCAGCCAACCAAUCAGCUUCUCUGCAUUCUCAUCACCCGCCCAUAGUCCAGUGCCCUGCCCACCCAGCAGACAGCUGUCUGUUGAUCCCCAGGUCUGGCUAAAGAUCUAUAAUUUCAGGUGGUGUCUCUGAUGGGAGAUCAUCGAUGCCUUCACACCCAGGGGGUAAUGCCUCUCCUGUGCUGCCUCUGUGUAAACUUAGCCACUAUAUCAACCAAUCAGCUUUUCUGCAUCCUCAUCGCCCGCCAAUAGUCCAGUGUCCCGCCCACCCAGCAGACGGCUGUCUAUCGUUCCGUAGGUCAGGCUGCAGACUAAUAAACCUCAAAUGCUUAAGCUGAAGGGAGAGAAUGCUAGAAGAGGGACAAAGGAUUCUGACCCCCUGGUUAUCUUGCCAAACACAAAGGACCUAUCAACCAACCUUGCAACAGAUGCUAAGAAGACGGCUUCUGUGUGACAGUGCCCAUAUGUCUGGAGGAAGUAACAUCGUUUUCUAGAAGUCAAAUUCAGGUUUUCUAUUUAAUUCAGGAGUUUUUGUCAUGUAAAUCGUAAUGCUUAACCAAAUAGCAGGCAGUCUAAAUAUUUUAGUAUUAACUUGGUGACUGGCAUAUACUAGUACAUUUGCUACUCAUGAACCCAUUUUGUUAUAUUUUUUAUGACUUUUGCGUUUGUGUCAAUCCAAGGAGCAGGUCCAAGCUAUUACUUCUUUACCGAUAGUAUCUGAUUAUCUUUUGUUUCAUUUACAAAUGCCUUCUUUGUAACUUGUAUUAAUGUUUUCCUUGAGUAAAAUAAUGCUUUUAAGCCUAGGCUAUUUUGAAAUUUGCAUAGCCCGGGGGAGGGGGGGGGGGCGCUUUUGUGAUCUCUCCCUCUUCAGAUCUCUGUUGGGAUCAUGAUAUGAUAAAAAAUUCAAACACCUCACCUAUGAAGAAAUCUCCCAAAUUGGAUAGUUAAAUAGUUUUAGCAAAAUCAUACAAAUUUAUAUCUUAUUAAUGUAAUUAUACUAAUUGAUAAAUAAAUUUAUAAUUCAGUGGUUGAUCUUUAAUAUAACUUUUAAACACCUACAUGUAAAUUUUAGCCUGGACACUCGUUAUAAGAUUGUAAUCAAAUCCAUAAAAUUUGAAAAAUGGUGAUAUAAUUUUUUUAUGAAUUUCUUAUGUAUUUUUCAACUUAAAGUUUUCAUUUUUUUUCGAUAAAACAACACUUUUUCAGUCAUAAAUACAUGAAAUCUAUUUUUCCAAUCAGUACAAUUAGAAUAUUACAUAUUUAUGAAGUUUGGCUACAUAGGAUUUGCUUUAGAUUUGUAUGUGAAAUCACUUUUACGAAAUGUUGCACAACUCCGGAACUGCUUACCCGGCCUUCACAAAUGUGAUCUAAAAAUUGCGCGAAAAUUGGAAGGAAAAUAGUCGUGAAACGUUGCAGUGCAAUCUUUUGCAUUACAGAUUUAUUGCAUAAAAUGUUGAGGGGAGAUAAAAGAUCUCCCCUCCCCCGGGUAGGUAGGGUUAAGUUUGAAGGGAUGAAUGGCUUUUUCUCUAUUAGAAAUAAAAUGAUGACUUCAUUUGGCCCAGUAAAUAGUCAUGGAGACUACUUCAUUUCCCCUAUGUAGUUUGUAUUUGCUUUUUUUUGUGUGUGUUGACUAUUCUGCAAAAGUGGAUCCAAAGGUUUUCCAGAGUUUUUCCCUAUUGAGUUUUAUCUCUGGUUUUUUACCCUGGAUCUACUUGUCGUAGAUUAGUUUAGCACACUCCCCCCCCCCCAAUUUUUUUUUGGUAUGUCUAUAUAAUUCUUAUUUUUCCAUGAAUUUUAUAUGUUCUGUUGAAUUUCAUCAAUUAUUACAUGUAGUACAAGAGGGUUUAUAAUACAGGCAUUCUCAUUUUCACUAUUAUCUAUUUUAAUAGCCAUUUGUGUAAAAAGGCUUAUUUUAUUUGUACAGAAUAUCAUAAAGUGAUGUUACUAAUAUGAAUAUUUGUUAUGCCUGUAAAAGGUUUAUCAUUUUAUUAAACACAAAAACUUUUUUUUUCCUAUGUAAGACGAAUGGCUUUACCUUGAUUUCAUAAUGACCCAUAUGUAUAGAAUCUUAGUUGAAAACACAAAGUGCAUUGAACUUCUAAAUGAAAUAAUUUUUUUAGCUGUUUUUUUUAAGAACCUUCAGCCCAACUCUUGGUCACAAAAAGUGAGUAGCUUUAAAUGGCCAUUGUUGUGUCUCAAUAUGUGCUAGAAGAAAAAGAAAUAUAUACCAUAAAACCUCACAGCAAAGGUUUCAUGUGUUACAAAAAUACUGCAUGAAAAAAGUCAAGAUAAAACUUCUGAUUUUAAACAGCAAGAAAUAAUGAUUUUAGGCAGUAAAAGUAAAUAAAUACUUUUAUGAAUUUUCUUUUUACGAAAACUUUACAUUGGAUUGGAUUGGAUUCAUUUUUGAGCAAUUUUGGCAUGCACUCAUGAAGUUUUACAUAAAUUUAGAACAUUUUGCAUGACUGCCAAUUUGGUCUCAGAAAUUGCAAGAGACUUUGCUAUUGCAAUAUAUGUUUAAAAGGGGAAUGUUUUACAACCUCAUCCCGGCCUAAAUAUAUAUAGUUACGGUGUUGGCAUACUUUGGUUGCAUUAUGAUCAUUCAGUGCUUGUUCAGUCUGUAGUAGUGAUAGUAGGAAAUCAUUUUUAUUUUCUUGUGGCUUUUCUCACAUAUCGGUGAUUGGUGGAUUUUCAGGGCUAUCCUGUCAUUUAUAAAGGAGUAUAUUCUAUCAUAGCUUCCUAAGGAAAUGCUAACUAAUCAUAUCUUUUCAUUUCCUUUUCCCUUGUAGCCUGGUAUCUGUUAAGUAAAAGUUGCAUGUGUAUGUUUAUUUUCACAUGAAUAUUAUAUAAAUUCUCAAUAUGUUUAGGACUGGCCAUUUUGCAUUAGGGAACAUUUCUUAAAUAGAGAUGGGAGAAAAGGUACCAAAUAUUUAAAACCACAGUAGGGGGGUUAAGGCCGGUCAAUAAAGCAUACAGGACAUUUCCCCCUUCAUUUUCUGGUGGCUAUUUCAGUGAUUGGUGAAUUUUGGGGGCUAUCCUAUCAUCUAGGAGACUAUAUUUUAUUGUAGCUUCAUUAGUAGAUACUUACUAUUCAUAUCUUUUCAUUUCCUUAUCCCUUGAAGUCUGUAUCUGUAAAGUAAAAGUUGCAUGUGUACAUACAUUUUCACAUGAAUAUUAGAUGAAAAUUCAAUAUGUUUAGGACAAGGUCAUUUUGCCACAUGGAACGUUUCUGUGUGACUGCAAAAAUGGGUAAUAUAAAUUUAAAGCCCCCCCAAAAAAAAAUCAACAUAAAUGAGAGUGUAAUAGAGACAAUUGUCCCUCCAUUGCCUUGAAUUAUUACAUUGUAUAUAUUCAGAGGGUAAAUGGGAAAGAGAUGACAUUUCACUCUCAUGUCUUGUAAUGUAUAUUUAAUAUUAGCACAAUAAUUUAGAAUGUAAAAUAAUUGUAAUUUAAAGGCUCUUAUAAGUAAUAAUGUAGAGUGCUUAAAGAUCUCAAUAUGAAGCACUAUUAUUAUUAUUAUUCACAAAGUCAACCAUGCUGCCAUGUUGAAUUGCAACUUAAUGCAGGUGAGACUGCCAUUGGCUUUGCACUGGUUUCUUUCAAAUAUUCCAUUAUAUUAUAGUUCUAGUAGUGAAGGAGAUUUUUAUUAAGAAAACAUGCUCCAUAUAUAGUGGGAAAGUUUUUUUUGUUUUAUAUCAUCAGAUCAUUUCAAAUUUAUGCAAAGUUUAUCACUCUAUUACUCUAGGAAAACAGGAAAAGGGGGUGUUUCACAAAUAAGUGUGACUAAAAUCCUGCGUAUAAAGUGCAAACAGACACAGGAUAUUUAAUGAGCAAUCUCAUUGAUGAUACGUAGUAAAUCACAUUCCAUGAACGUGAUCCAAUUGUAUCCUACCAAUUUUCCAUACACAAGUAGAAAUUUAAGAGGGAGUUUGUAGUCACAGAUAAAUUUAUGUGAAACACCCCUUUGAUAUGUCAUGUAUGCCACAUAUAAUAUUAAAUAGCUUGGACCUGCCCUAUAUCGGGACAGUGAUUUUCUAAUCACCGGUUAAUCAAAAUCGAAAAGCCGUUUUGGUUCUUAACUUUUCAUGUGAAAAUUAAUUGAAUUUUCCUUUGCAAAACGGAAUUCAUGUUAUUGUUGUGUUCACUUUCUAUGAAAAAACAGAAUUACCACUUAAGAUCAAGUUUGAAAUGGAGUUACAGGUUUCCAGAAACAGAAAGACAAUUUUUUAAAGGAAAAAUCACUGUCCCUGUAGUUUAUGAUUGUCUGUACUCUAUACUUGCUUUGUAUCCAUGAUUUUCAUAUUUUUUGUAAAUUUUCAUUAAAAAUUGUAAGGCCGGCAGCUGAGAAGAUUCAUCCAAGUUGGAGGACUGUAGCAGUUGACCUCAUUGAUUGAUGGAGUAAGCCCGACACCUCACAAAUAUGGCUUCCUGUCUGGUUUGAGCUGGGGUCUUCCUGCCAGAAUCACACAAUUGGUGACAUCACUGCCAAGAGUUCUAUUUUUCAGUGUAGAGAGAAGGACACUGGACACUGCUGUGCAUGGUAUACCACAUCCAUAUUAAAUGUAAGUGCUUUAUUUCUAAUUUCAUUGAUAUUUUGUGUAGCCUAGAGUAUGCAAGACAAUGCCAUUGGGUUUCCAGAAAUUAUUACUCUCAGGGAAAAAUUAUUAGAGAAAGUAUGGGCAGUGGUUUCACCCCCAUUGGGCUUUUAAUUUGCAUCCUUUUUUUAAUGAAUGUAAUUUUCUUUCAUCUUUGGCAUCCAAUUCUUUUCAUGAAAAUCUAUCAAUACAAUACUCCUAAAGGCAAUUUUGAUGAAAUUUCUUUCCUACCUUAAAAAUACUUGCAGUAUCUGUUGAUCCAUUGAUUGCUGUCUUUCUUUAUAUUCCUCCCUGUACUAUCUGCUCUAGCUGCUGUUCGAAAUUCAUCUUUGUUUCACACUGUUUCAACAUCUGCCAUGACUGAUAUAAUAAUUUGCUAAUUAAGACAUAAAGAAAUAAUUCAAAAGGAAAUUUAUAUAUAUUCAAAGAUUUUGAUUUCAUUAAUUCUAUAUUAAUUGCAAAAGCCAUGAUAGAGCAGUGUGAAUUGUUUUGCAAUAAAUCUAUUCCCUUUUUCUGUACAUGUUAAUUUUUUGGAGAGACUAAUGUAAGUUAAUUUUAAAAACUGUUUGGUCCUAUCCCCAUUCACCGUAAACUUGAUUUUUUUUUUUAAAUGCCAAGUGUGUAUCCAUCAUGUAAACACAUAAUGCGAGAGAUUUAGCCAGACCUGUGUUGGAUGAUAAUGAUAAUGUGAUGAAGGUGGCUUCUCAAUAUCGGUUCGUCUGCAAAAAAAAAAAAAAAAUUGGCUUCUACACAAGUUUGGAUAAAAAGUUUAACCCACUUUAGUGAGGAUUGUGUGCUUCAAUGGUUUUUCCACAAUGUAUAAAAAAAAACAUGUUUCAUCAAUCACCGCAGUACAAGUUGGUAUGGAAUCUAGUUUUAGAAGUGCAAUGUCAAAUUUUUUUCAGCAAGUGGUUUUUACUUGUCAAGCCAUUGUUCAAGAGCCUUGCCCACUGUAAUGUUUCGAGUUAACCCUUGUCAGUAUACUUUGUAUUGGCCCUUUUUCACGUUUGUUAAAUACGUUUGAUGGAGCAGUUUAGCCAAGAUGGCUUUUGGGCUUGGUGGCAGUGAUCAUUGUCGAUCAAGAACCAGUUUGCACCCCAACGAAGAGAAGAGACAAACUGUUGGUCUAUGGUUGAAGAGAGCGGUGCUGAAUUAUGGAGUAAUGUCUCAAUUGCAUGUGACAUUUUGGUCUUUGGUGUUUGAAAAUUUGGUAAUGUUGCGAUAAUCCUCAAGUACUUUCUGACUAAGAGGAAUAGUAUUCUUUUUCAGCCUAUUUGUUGGUAUCCAGUGCUCUUCAAACCAUCAUGAAAAUUGAAUGACUAGAAAUUCAAAUGGUGAUAACUGGGCCCCGUCUUACAAAGAGCUGCGAUUGAUCCGAUCAGUCGCAACUAUGGAAAGCCAGCAACAUCAAUAUCUAAAAUUAAAUGUUCAAAAUAUUUUCUAGAAAUCGUGUAUAUUCAUAUAUUCACUGUUUUCUUGACAAUUCAGUAUGCUUCUCUUUGUCUUAAAGAAAAAUUAAGACAUUGAUGGAUUUCCAAGUACUUGAGAUUGAUCGGAUCAAUCAUAACUCUUUGUAAGAUGAGAGCCCUGUCGAGGGGUCUGUGCCUUUGAUUGUUCUGGUAGUACAUGGUGCCUUACAGGUGAUCUGGAUGAUGAUGAUCAUUGUAUCAUUUCGUAGAAAUCUCAGCACUCUGAUCUGCAUGAUCAAUGCUAUCUAAGCUUAUUGCCAUCUGGAAUUCAUCUACAUCAUUUCAGUCUGUAGGCAGGGCAGUGAUCCAUCAGAUUAUCAACAUACUAAACUCUCCAUUUUCAGUCAUUGUGUUGUCUGGUGGUUUUUCCUUGGGGAAUAUUUUAAGUCAUAUCCUUUCUGGAAGACAAUUUGCAUUUAUUCACUUGGCUGAAUUAAAAAAAAAAGGUUGUGCAUUUGGGAAGGCAUUUGAUGGAACUUGGCAUAAUCUGAUUUUGUUGGUGAGUUUUUCUUUCAAAUUUACAUUCUCUCUCGCCUGUGCUUUAAAAACCAGUCCAAAGCAGAGCUGCUAUUUGGGCAAACCUGAAAAAUUUGUGGUCGGGCUUUACCUACUGUUGUCGCAGAGGAUUGUGACAUUGCCGACGGGAAGGAGCCAAGGGUAGGAUGACUCUUUGAGACCUGUGAGUUCUGACCAUGGUGGUCAAUGAAAGAUGUUUGUAAAUUCUUUGAAGAGCUUCAUCAGCAUCCGCACAUGGUGCCAUCACCCUCAAGGGGUCAGAGCGAAUGAUUCUCCGAGACUUGACAAUGGUAUUCAAUUAAAGAGGAUUGACGUACCUUUAACAGCCUUAAUCAGCAACAUUCUCACAUGGAUCAAUAAUCAUGGCAUGGACGCAGGGGCCAUCUAGCCUAGAAUUAAUCCAGAUUUGAUUGUUUAAGUUUGAAGGUAAAGGAGUGUAAUUGGAUGACUUCUCGUAGAUUGUUACAACGGUUUCCAACAUCCAUCUGGUACGAGUUUUGGAAAUUCUAUUUGGUGCCGUCUGAAAUUAGACAUUUAUUCUGGAAAAUUGUUGUCAUUCACCUUUUGCCUGAAGAAAUAGAUUCCUACAUCUAGUCUGAAAUGAGCUUUGGAAAUUUUUAUCUGGUGCCAUUUCUCAAUUCUUUAAUCUUUCGGCUGCAUUUACCUCCAUUCUGGAAGGAGUUUUGUAAAGUUUGUUGGAUGUUGUCUCAGAAAUUUGACAUUGCGCUUCACUACUAGGGAACAUGCAUUGUACUGUGAUGAUUGAUGGUGCAUUGUGGGAUAUAAAGUGCACUUCCUCAGGACGAGCCUAUCUUGAGGGUUCAACCUGUUAGAUCUAGAUUCACAUUAUCUUAUCAUUCUGAAUGCAAUAGCUUUGUCUCUCAAAAUUGUGUGGAAGAAGUGUUGGAUGCAUACGCAAACCACAUUUGGUUCUUGUAUUAUGGUGAAUGAAUGAAGGGGAAACAAUAAAAAAUAACAAGAAAGAAAUCAUCAAAUAUUAACAAAAAAAGAAAAAAUUAAAGUGUUUAUUGACGUUGAGAGAAACGCAAUUUUAUAUGUACAGAAAAACAGUGCAUUUAUUUGCAAAGUUGUAAUAUUUCCCAUCUGCUCAGGCUACUGCUUAUUUAAAAAUAAUAGCCCCCCCAAAAAAAGAAUAAAGUAAUAAAAUGAAUAAAUUAAUAAAAAUUAGUAUUAGUAACAAUGAUGCAAAAAGACAAUUAGGAAUGAUGCAAUAUAUUUUUUAUUACAAAUUUCAAAAGAAUAGCCCCCCCCCAAAAAAAAAAUGAAUAACAAUAAUGAAAAAAUGAUAAUCAAAGAUACAAAUAGACAAUUCUGAAAUGAUGCAAUAAAUUUUUUAUUGAAAAUUUAAAAUAUGAAAAUUAUUAGUAAUAAUACGGCAUAAUUAUUUUUUUUAGAACAUUUUAAUAUCAGUCAUGUUUUUAAAUGUUGAAAUGAUGUGAAAUAAAGGAAGAUUGGCAGAUUUGGGAAGCUCUUCAUGAGGAGAUUUGUCAGUGAUUAUCACUGACUAAUUUGCUUUUGACCAAUCAGAUGCAGUGAUUCACAAGAGCUCAUAACAUCUGUUGGUGAAAGUCACUGACAAAAAUCUUUAUGAAAUGCUUCCCCUGGGUGGAUGGUACAGGGAGGUAUGGAGUGAGACUACAAUUUAAUGGAUUAACUGGUAAAACUGUAGAAAAGAGAAAAGGGCGUAGAGGGGGGUGGUAGUGAGGAAAGGAGCUCCCUGGCCAUUCAAAUGAGGUGGUGGCAUUAUUCAAGCAGACCAAGGGGGGAUGGGAGAGGGGGGUCAUAUGGCAAAGAGCAGAUAGAAGAGGGGAGAAGGGGGAAGGGGGUGGUUAGGGUAAAUAGAAGGGAACCAAAACCAGUGCAUUGUCUUUCGUACACUUGGCUACACAAAGUAUCAUUGAACUUGUAAAUAAAGCACCUACUGUAUAUGGGUAUUGUAUGUCAUGUAUGGCAGUGUCCAGCACCCCGCCCUGUACACUUAAAAAUAGGACAAUUGGUAGUGAUGUCAUGUAUUGUGUGAUUUUGUCUUGGAGACCCCAGCUCAGAUCAGACUGGCGGCCAUUUUGUGAGGGUGUUCGGGUUUGCUCCAUUGAAUCAAGGUCAGUUGCUAUGGCAACCUCCCAACUUGGGUGAAUCUUCUUGGCUGUCGGCCAUUUUUUUUUUAAUCAUUUUUUUUAAUAAAAAGAAACAAUAAAUUCCAUUGAAAAUGAA